GACGAACGCUGGCGGCGUGCUUAACACAUGAAAGUCGAACGGAAAGGCCCUGCUUUUGUGGGGUGCUCGAGUGGCGAACGGGUGAGUAACACGUGAGUAACCUGCCCUUGACUUUGGGAUAACUUCAGGAAACUGGGGCUAAUACCGGAUAGGAGCUCCUGCUGCAUGGUGGGGGUUGGAAAGUUUCGGCGGUUGGGGGUGGACUCGCGGCUUAUCAGCUUGUUGGUGGGGUAGUGGCUUACCAAGGCUUUGACGGGUAGCCGGCAUGAGAGGGUGACCAGAAAAAUAAGAAUUGACAUACCCCCCAGCCUACUACGGCCGGCAGCAGGGGGGAAUACUGCACUAUGGGCCGAGGCCUGAUCCAGACACGCCGCGCCCCAGACGCCCGCAUUCGCGUUGUCUGCAACUUUCAGCUCAAUCGACCCGCACUUGCCGUUACUGGCUAGCGACUCACCCGCUAACUACGUG
rnacentral:rRNA from 1 species